rnacentral:rRNA from 1 species
CCUACGGGAGGCAGCCGUGGGGAAUAUUGGACAAUGGGCGCAAGCCUGAUCCAGCCAUGCCGCGUGAGUGAUGAAGGCCUUAGGGUUGUAAAGCUCUUUUACCCGAGAUGAUAAUGACAGUAUCGGGAGAAUAAGCUCCGGCUAACUCCGUG